rnacentral:rRNA from 1 species
GGGAAGCGGCGAACGGGUGAGUAACACUUAGGUGAUCUGCCCAUCAGACGGGGACAACGAUUGGAAACGAUCGCUAAUACCGGAUAGGACGAAAGUUUAAAGAUGCUCCUGGCAUCACUGAUGGAUGAGCCUGCGGCGCAUUAGCUAGUUGGUGGGGUAAAGGCCUACCAAGGCGACGAUGCGUAGCCGACCUGAGAGGGUGAACGGCCACACUGGGACUGAGACACGGCCCAGACUCCUACGGGAGGCAGCAGUAGGGAAUCUUCGGCAAUGGGCGAAAGCCUGACCGAGCAGCGCCGCGUGAAUGAAGAAGGCCUUCGGGUUGUAAAAUUCUGUUAUAAGGGAAGAAAGGUGAUAGGAGGAAAUGACUAUCAAUUGACGGUACCUUAUGAGAAAGCCACGGCUAACUACGUGCCAGCAGCCGCGGUAAUACGUAGGUGGCAAGCGUUAUCCGGAAUUAUUGGGCGUAAAGAGCGCGCAGGUGGUUAAUUAAGUCUGAUGUGAAAGCCCACGGCUUAACCGUGGAGGGUCAUUGGAAACUGGUUGACUUGAGUGC